rnacentral:rRNA from 1 species
AUUGAACGCUGGCGGCAGGCCUAACACAUGCAAGUCGAACGGUAGCACAGAGAGCUUGCUCUCGGGUGACGAGUGGCGGACGGGUGAGUAACGUCUGGGAAACUGCCCGAUGGAGGGGGAUAACUACUGGAAACGGUAGCUAAUACCGCAUAACGUCGCAAGACCAAAGUGGGGGACCUUCGGGCCUCACACCAUCGGAUGUGCCCAGAUGGGAUUAGCUUGUAGGUGGGGUAAUGGCUCACCUAGGCGACGAUCCCUAGCUGGUCUGAGAGGAUGACCAGCCACAAUGGAACUGAGACACGGUCCAGACUCCUACGGGAGGCAGCAGUGGGGAAUAUUGCACAAUGGGCGCAAGCCUGAUGCAGCCAUGCCGCGUGUAUGAAGAAGGCCUUCGGGUUGUAAAGUACUUUCAGCGGGGAGGAAGGCGGUGAAGUUAAUAACUUCACCGAUUGACGUUACCCGCAGAAGAAGCACCGGCUAACUCCGUGCCAGCCGCCGCCGUAA